GCUAUACAUGCAGUCGAGCGCAGGAAGCCGUCUGAACCCUUCGGGGGGACGACGGUGGAAUGAGCGGCGGACGGGUGAGUAACACGUAAAGAACCUGCCCAUAGGUCUGGGAUAACCACGAGAAAUCGGGGCUAAUACCGGAUGUGUCAUCGGACCGCAUGGUCCGCUGAUGAAAGGCGCUCCGGCGUCGCCCAUGGAUGGCUUUGCGGUGCAUUAGCUAGUUGGUGGGGUAACGGCCCACCAAGGCGACGAUGCAUAGCCGACCUGAGAGGGUGAUCGGCCACACUGGGACUGAGACACGGCCCAGACUCCUACGGGAGGCAGCAGUAGGGAAUCUUCCACAAUGGACGAAAGUCUGAUGGAGCAACGCCGCGUGAACGAUGAAGGCUUUCGGGUCGUAAAGUUCUGUUGUAAGGGAAGAACAAGUGCCGCAGGCAAUGGCGGCACCUUGACGGUACCUUGCGAGAAAGCCACGGCUAACUACGUGCCAGCAGCCGCGGUAAUACGUAGGUGGCAAGCGUUGUCCGGAAUUAUUGGGCGUAAAGCGCGCGCAGCGGCCUCUUAAGUCUGAUGUGAAAGCCCCCGGCUCAACCGGGGAGGGCCAUUGGAAACUGGGAGGCUUGAGUAUAGGAGAGAAGAGUGGAAUUCCACGUGUAGCGGUGAAAUGCGUAGAGAUGUGGAGGAACACCAGUGGCGAAGCGACUCUUG
rnacentral:rRNA from 1 species